GGAUGAGUUCGCGGCCCAUUAGCUAGUUGGCGGGGUAAAGGCCCACCAAGGCAACGAUGGGUAGCCGGCCUGAGAGGGUGAUCGGCCACAUUGGGACUGAGAUACGGCCCAGACUCCUACGGGAGGCAGCAGUAGGGAAUUUUGCGCAAUGGACGAAAGUCUGACGCAGCAACACCGUGUGAGGGAUGAAGCAUUUCGGUGUGUAAACCUCUGUCGAUGAUGAAUAAAGCAGGGGGGAGUGGAAAGCCUCCGUGUUGAAGGUAAUCAUGAAGGAAGCACCGGCUAACUCUGUGCCAGCAGCCGCGGUAAUACAGGGGGUGCAAGCGUUGUUCGGAAUCACUGGGCGUAAAGGGAGCGUAGGCGGAACUACAAGACAGAGGUUAAAUCUCCGGGCUCAACCUGGAACUUGCCUUUGUGACUGUGGUUCUUGAGUAUGGUAGAGGUUGGCGGAAUUUCCGGUGUAGCGGUGGAAUGCGUAGAGAUCGGAAAGAACACCAGAGGCGAAGGCGGCCAACUGGACCAAUACUGACGCUGAGGCUCGAAAGCGUGGGGAGCAAACAGGAUUAGAUACCCUGGUAGUCCACGCUGUAAACGAUGAACACUAGAUGUCGGGAGGGGUUCCUUCCGGUGUCGUCGCUAACGCAGUAAGUGUUCCGCCUGGGGAGUACGCUCGCAAGGGUG
rnacentral:rRNA from 1 species